rnacentral:rRNA from 1 species
AGCGAACGCUGGCGGCAGGCCUAACACAUGCAAGUCGAACGGAUCCUUCGGGAUUAGUGGAGGACGGGUGAGUAACACGUGGGAACGUGCCCUUUGGUUCGGAAUCACACAGGGAAACUUGAGUUCAUACCGGAUGUGCAGUUCGGGGGACAGAUUUAUCGCCAUUGGAGCGGCCCGCGUCUGAUUAGCUAGUUGGUGAGGUAAAGGCUCACCAAGGCGACGAUCAGUAGCUGGUCUGAGAGGAUGAUCAGCCACAUUGGGACUGAGACACGGCCCAAACUCCUACGGGAGGCAGCAGUGGGGAAUCUUGCGCAAUGGGCGAAAGCCUGACGCAGCCAUGCCGCGUGAAUGAUGAAGGUCUUAGGAUUGUAAAAUUCUUUCUCCGGGGACGAUAAUGACGGUAACCGGAGAAGAAGCCCCGGCUAACUUCGUGCCAGCCGCCGCGGUAAAAC